AGGCCCUCACGGAGCAGGGAGUCUGCCGGCACCUCACAGUGCGAUUCCAGCCCCACAGCUGUGAGAGACGCCCCUGUGGUUCUAAGCUCCAGUCCAAGGUGACAAAGACAGAUGCCAACCAGAGGCCCAGUGAGGCGAGGGCUGUCCAAAGCCAGGGUGGACGAUGGAGCCAUUCCAUCGCAGUGACAGCCACCUCCCUGGAACCAGCACUGGCGGAAAGAGAUCCUGAGCCAAGCUGAACCGCUGAGUUGCAAGCACGGGCAGGCAAUACACACUACUCCGGCCCAUCGGAAGCACCGCCCAGAAUUCUGGGUGGUGACAACUCACAACUCUCUAUUAGAACAAUGCCAGGGAAGGACCAGCCACGUAACCUUGUGCUUAAGGAUGCAGGAUCCCACACUACCCACCACGGUUUGAUGGCUUGGAUGAAGAAACAGAGAGGACAUGCCGGCUUAUGCCCUGGCAGGGGUGCUUUCUCUGCGUGUCUCUUGUUGAGUGCAUGAUUACAGGCUCCCUCUGGCAAUUAAAAACAAGAAAACUUC